UGGUGGGUAGUUUGACUGGGGCGGUCUCCUCCCAAAGCGUAACGGAGGAGCACGAAGGUUAGCUAAUCCUGGUCGGACAUCAGGAGGUUAGUGCAAUGGCAUAAGCUAGCUUGACUGCGAGCGUGACGGCGCGAGCAGGUGCGAAAGCAGGUCAUAGUGAUCCGGUGGUUCUGAAUGGAAGGGCCAUCGCUCAACGGAUAAAAGGUACUCCGGGGAUAACAGGCUGAUACCGCCCAAGAGUUCAUAUCGACGGCGGUGUUUGGCACCUCGAUGUCGGCUCAUCACAUCCUGGGGCUGAAGUAGGUCCCAAGGGUAUGGCUGUUCGCCAUUUAAAGUGGUACGCGAGCUGGGUUUAGAACGUCGUGAGACAGUUCGGUCCCUAUCUGCCGUGGGCGCUGGAGAAUUGAGGGGGGCUGCUCCUAGUACGAGAGGACCGGAGUGGACGCAUCACUGGUGUUCGGGUUGUCAUGCCAAUGGCACUGCCCGGUAGCUAAAUGCGGAAGAGAUAAGUGCUGAAAGCAUCUAAGCACGAAACUUGCCCCGAGAUGAGUUCUCCCUGAGACUUUAAGUCUCCUGAAGGAACGUUAAAGACGAUGACGUUGAUAG
rnacentral:rRNA from 1 species